rnacentral:misc_RNA from 1 species
CAUUCUUGUUUUUGGCAUAUGGAUCCAGCAGAUCGGACCAAAUUGGUAGAGUAAGGAAUAUUUAUCAACAGAAAAUUAACUCAAGCAAGAACAAUAUAGGAUCUAUGAUUGAUUGUAUUAAAGUAAUACAAAGGUUUGAUAGACCUUCUGUACAAUACAACCAUUAGGAAAUACNNNNNNNNNNNNNGGAUUCAACUACCAAAUAGGAAGAUAAAAGAAAGAUAAAAUGGCUGAUGAUCCAACCCCCAGGAAGAUUCCCGUUCAGAUAACAAUUCUGCCCAAAAUUACCCAGUCAUUCCAGAAUGCUUCUUCUCUAUUCUCCAUCCCUUAUAUUCUGUUUUCCUCCCCUUCCAGUAACUGCUUUCAGCCACAUGUUCCUUCCUCCAUAUUUCUCUCCAACGUCCAUUUGCAGCUGUGUAGUACUCUCCUUGUCUCUUCCUUCCUUCCUUCUUCUAAUAUAAACUUUGAAUGGCCUUGGGCUUGUAAGAGUAAUAGCACCUGGGCCUGCUGAAACAAUAACAUCUCUAUCAAGCACCCUAAUUAUGGAUGGCUCUGGACAAACAGAAAAAGGAAUGAAGGAGGAUGUAGCCAGCUUUCCUUGAUCUGCUCUCACCAUUUAUUUGAUUUUAAGAAUUCAAAAUAUUGGUCUAUGCCCAGAAGAUGCUACUGUGACCCUACCCUUCAAUUGCUAUAUUCUUGUAAUGUUUUCAUUCAUUUUAAGCUGGUUUUAUCCAACAUUAAUUAUUUUAUAUUAUGAUGUUAUUUAAGAUAUCAUUGCCAU